rnacentral:siRNA from 1 species
UAUUGCCAAUUGAUUUUAGGUUGG